rnacentral:rRNA from 1 species
CCCUUAGAUGUUCUGGGCCGCACGCGCGCUACACUGAUGCAUUCAACAAGCCUAGCCUUGACCGAGAGGUCCGGGUAAUCUUUGAAACUGCAUCGUGAUGGGGCUAGAUUAUUGCAAUUAUUAAUCUUCAGCGAGGAAUGCCUAGUAAGCGUGAUUCAUCAAAUCGCGUUGAUUACGUCCCUGCCCUUUGUACACACCGCCCGUCGCUCCUACCGAUUGAAUGUGUUGGUGAGGAGCUCGGAUUGGCAGCAGUUGGUGGUUCGCCACCGGCUAUUGCUGAGAAGUCCUCCAAACCGCCCCAUUUAGAGGAAGGAGAAGUCGUAACA